AAUCCAUGACAACACAUCUAAAGAUAAACGUUCAAUGGACAGCUUUUAUUAAAAUAACUUCUUGGCAUAUUUGCUGAAACUGCAACUAAAUCCUGAAACAUCCGGUUCCUCUGUUUCCAAGUGCUCCUGACAGCAUUUUCAAAAAUCCACCUCACCUAAACGAAAACAACCAAUCACAGCCGGGAGGAGUCUCGAAAAAAGUGUCAAUUACUGCUUGUGCACAGCGGAGUGAUACGAGCAGCAGAGAAAGGCACAGAAGGAUUUGUAUUGUGUUUUUACUGAGCUGAAAGGACCAGAAAAAUAUAACAUUUAAACUUCUUUAACACAAUGUUUAAGGUCUUUAUAUUGUGUUUCCUUCAUCUGCCAGGGAAUAAGGGUGCCUCAAAUGCCUACACUGUUGUCCAAAAACCUCCUUUCAUCAUUAAGAGAAAUUAUGAAUCUGUUGCCAGUGAGAUCAAAUGUUCACACAGCAUAACAAAUUUUCAAGUCAUUCUCUGGUACAAACAAGAAGAAAACAAAGCGCUAAAGUUCCUGGGAUAUCUGAAUCUGGACUCCCUAUACCCCGAGGACGACGUGAAAGGAAAAAUCAGCUUUGAUGGAGACGGCCGUAAAGAGUCAAGCCUCACUGUUUCAAAUGUUUCAUUAAAUGACAGGGGUGUGUAUUUCUGUGCUGCCAGUCAGCACAGUGCUGCAGAUUCCCCUCAAGUCAAUACAAAAACUGUCUGCAGACAGACAAGAUGUUCAGGCUCUUGAACACCUGCAGCCAGCCUCCAUCUAAACUGAGCCUUUGAAGUUAUUAUCAACUGUUGUACAAAAUAUGGUCGUCACAUUCUUUAGAUGUGCAGAACAUAUUGUUUCUGAUAUUGUCUCAUCAACUACAAGAUUGAUGGAGUCUUGAACUACAGACCACUGAUAAAAUGCAGACAUCCAAACUAUUCUGCUUCCUACAGCGUUCCUUCAUAAAUAAAUAAAAAGCAAACUUCAUAAAUCAGACUUGAUCAUAAUUUAUAACUUUACUCACAUUCUUGCACUGCCAUGCCAGUACAGAAAUACCUUCCAUAUUCUGUUUUAAAGGGGCUAUAUCUAGUUUUUCAAUGAAAUCACUAAUAAAUCUAAUUUUUACUGCCUUAUUGUCAAUAGGCUCAAACCUCAGUUAGAAAUAAAGCACACGCCUGUUUUCUCUGUUGCUUGGAACAGCCACUAUUCUGCUUUUAAUGCAAAGGCAAUGGAUCAGGAUGCGGGUCCUGCAGACCACAGUGACAAAACAC